rnacentral:rRNA from 1 species
GAUGAACGCUAGCGGCGUGCCUAACACAUGCAAGUCGAACGUGAGAGGGUACUUGUAUCCUUGAAAGUGGCGGACGGGUGAGUAAGACGUAGGUGACCUGCCUUGAAGUGGGGAUAACCAUUGGAACGAUGGCUAAUACCGCAUAAGCUGGUGACGAUGGGAAUCGUUAACAGGAAAGCUUUAGUGCUUUGAGAGGGGCCUACGGCCGAUUAGCUAGUUGGUGAGGUAAAGGCUCACCAAGGCGAUGAUCGGUAGCUGGUCUGAGAGGACGAUCAGCCACACGGGAACUGAGACACGGUCCCGACUCCUACGGGGGGCAGCAGUAAGGAAUAUUGGACAAUGGCCGCAAGGCUGAUCCAGCCAUGCCGCGUGCAGGAAGACGGCCCUAUGGGUUGUAAAGCUCUUUUGUCCGGAAAGAAAGCAUCUGGUUAAUACCCGGGUGUUCUGACGGUACCGGAAGAAUAAGCACCGGCUAACUUCGUGCCAGCAGCCGCGGUAA